UACGUAGGGUGCAAGCGUUGUCCGGAAUUAUUGGGCGUAAAGAGCUCGUAGGCGGUUUGUCGCGUCUGCUGUGAAAACUCGGGGCUUAACUCCGGGCCUGCAGUGGGUACGGGCAGACUAGAGUGCGGUAGGGGAGACUGGAAUUCCUGGUGUAGCGGUGAAAUGCGCAGAUAUCAGGAGGAACACCGGUGGCGAAGGCGGGUCUCUGGCCCGGUACUGACGCUGAGGUGCGAAAGCGUGGGGAGCAAACAGG
rnacentral:rRNA from 1 species